rnacentral:rRNA from 1 species
GAUGAACGCUGGCGGCGUGCUUAAUACAUGCAAGUCGAGCGACGAGACGAGCCGUUUGCUCCUCUGACGUUAGCAACAGACGGGUGAGUAACACGUGGAUAAGCGACUUAUAGGACUAGGGUAACUUCGGGAAACCGGAGCUAACACGGGUGAAUACACUGAAACGAAGGGCGCAAUGGUGAACGACGGUUUUGCCGCCACCUAUAGGUGAAUCCGGGCCGCAUCAGCUAGUUGGUAAGAUAACGGCUUACCAAGGCAACGAGGCGUAGCCGACCUGUGAGGGUGAUCGGCCACACUGGAACUGAGACACGGAGCAGACUCCUACGGGAGGCAGCGGGGGGGAAGCGGCCGAAAUUGGGGAAAGCCUGACGGAGCAACGCCGCGUGAGUGCUGAAGGGCUUCGGAUCGUAGGACUGUAAUAUUCGGGAAGAAGAAAUGUGUAAGGAGCUAUGGACGGCUUGACGGUACCGAGUCAGAAAGCAACGGCUAACUACGUG